ACCGUCAGCUAGCUCUCUGCAACUUUCACAUGGUCGCCAACCAAAGCUGAGCAGAGCUGUGCCUGGUUAGUACCUGGAUGGUAGAUCACAUGGGAAAACAGGUUGCUGCCGGAA
rfam:Danio rerio chromosome 12 genomic contig CTG1221, GRCz11 reference primary assembly.